AAGUGGCCGUGAUCGUCUAGUGGUUAGGACCCCACGUUGUGGCCGUGGUAACCCAGGUUCGAAUCCUGGUCACGGCAGCUUCUUUCAAAUUUAGAUGGGC
rnacentral:tRNA from 1 species